AUACGGUGAAUACGUUCCCGGACCUUGUACACACCGCCCGUCAAGCCAUGGAAGCCGGGUGUACCUAAAGUCGGUAACCGCAAGGGGCCGCCUAGGGUAAAAACUGGUGACUGGGGCU
rnacentral:rRNA from 1 species